GCCUAGACCAGAUUUUUGUAGAGUUCCUUGAGAAGUUUCAGUUCAUUUUGCUCAUGUUUAUUUAUUUAUUUAUUUUCAAGACAGAGUCUCUCUCUGUCGCCCAGGCUGGAGUGCAGCGGUGCAAUCUCAGCUCGCUACAACCUCCGCCUCCCAGGUUCAAGUGAUUCUUCUGCCUCAGCCUCCUGAGUAGCUGGGACUACAGGUGUGCGCCACCACACCCAGCUAAUUUUUGUAUUUUUGUAGAGACAAGAUUUCACCAUGUUGGUCAGGCUGGUCUUGAACUCCUGACCUCAGGUGAUCUGCCCACCUCGGUCUCCCAAAGUGUAGGGAUUACAGGCAUGAGCCACUGCACCCAGCCUGCUCAUGUUUAAUAAGCCCUUAGGAAGAAUUGGUUCUGGACGCUUCCAGAAAGUCCACCAAAGCACACACUAAUUUUUUUUUUCUGGAGAGGAUGAAAUAACCAGAAUUAUUACAUAUACACUGAAUAAAAGAGCAUCAUCCUGGGCACCUUAAGGGAAUUAAAAGAAUGACUGGCUGGGCUUGGUGGCUCACACCUGUAAUCCCAGCACUUUUGGAGGCUGAGGCAGGCAGAUCACUUGAGGUCAGGAGUUCAAGGGCAGCCUGGCCAAAAUGACAAAACCUUAAGUAGCCAGGUGUGGUGGUACAUGCCUGUAAUUCCAGGUACUCAGGAGGCCGAGGCAGGAGAAUCACUUGAACCUGGGAGGCAGACAGAGCCACUGUACUCCAGCCUGAGCGACAGAGGAGACCCUGUCUCAAAAAAAAAAAAAAAGGAAGGACAGGAAGUUCAGUGAGAGUGGCAAGGAGGGCUGGGUGCUGGCAUGGCUAAUCCUACCAUGAUGAGGUUUGGUGGCCCCUUCACCUCUCUGAGCCCUGGUUCCCUCCUCUGUCAAAUGGCAGUUUCUUCAGAGCUCUAAUCAGUAAGAAUCGCAUUUCUUUUUUUUUUUUUUUUUUUUGAGGGAAAAAGAGAAAAAGAAGGGGAAAAAAGAAAAAGAGGGAAAAAGGAAUAUUACUUCAUUUCUAAAAUGGGUUUCAAUAAUGGCCGAUCAAUAUUUUGAGUGUUUAAAGUGGUUAAUGCAUAUUUUAUGUGUUUAAAAUGGAGACCUCUAUUGUGUUUAUUUGUUCUGGCUCUGAGUUCAAGUCCUGGAUAUCGUUAUCAAUUUGUUGUCUCGUUGAAUCUAAAUCUCAUUAUGUGUCUUAUGUAUCUGGGUGUUAAGAUCUCUUAUUGUUACAUUAAUCCUUUUACCCUUGCAUCCUUGUAGCUUUGAAAUCUAUUUUAUUAAGUGUGAGAAUUGCAACUCCUGCUUUUUAUUUAUUUAUUUUUGCUCUCCAUUUGGUUGGUGAGUUUUUUUCCAUCCCCUUGUUUUGAGUCUUUGUAUAUCUUUAGAUAUAUUGUUAGAUUUUGUGGAUAAUGUAUAUUUUGUGUGUUUAAAAUGGAGAGCUCUAUUGAGUUUAUUUGUUCUGGAUCUUAGUUCCAGUCCCGGAUAUCGUUAUCAAUUUUCUGUCUUGUUGAAUCUAAAUCUCAUUAUGGGUCUUAUGUAUCUGGGUGUUAAGAUCUCUUAUUAUUACAUUAAUCCUUUUACCCUUAUAUCCUUGUAGCUUUGAAAUCUAUUUUGUCAAAUGUGAAAAUUGCAACUCCUGCUUCUUAUUUAUUUUUGCUCUCCAUUUGGUUGGUAUGUUUUGUUUUUUUUUUUCCAACCCUUUAUUUUGAGUCUAUGUAUAUCUUUGGAUAUACCGUUAGAUUUUGUCUGUAUCUUUUGAUUGGGAGAUUUGGUCAAUUUAAAUUUAGGGUUGCUGCCAUUUGAUAUUAACUGGCUAUUUUGUCCUUUCGUUGAUGAAAAUUCUUCUUUAUGUUAAUGCUCUUUACUUUUUGGUGUAUUUUUAGAAAGUGUCAUAUUGGUUGUUCCUUUCUGUGUAUAAUGCUUCUUUUAGAAGUUCUUGUAAAGCAGGCCUGGUGGUAAUAAAAUCUCUGAGUACUUGCUUGUUCCUAAAAUAUUUUAUUUUUCCUUCAAAUGUAAAACUUAAAUUGGCAGGAUAUGAAAUUCUGGGCUGAAAGUUCUGUUGAUUAAGUAUAUUGAAUAUUGGCCCCCACUCUCUUCUAGCUUGUAGGGUUUCCGCUGAUAGAUCUGCUGUAAGCCUAACAGGCUUACCUUUAUGGGUAACUUGAUCUUUCUCUCUGACUGCCCUUAAUAUUUUCUCCUUCGUUUCGAUCUUGGUGAAUCUAACGAUUAUGUGCCUUGGGGUUGGUCUUCUUGAGGAAUAUCUUUGUGGUGUUCUCUGUAUUGCCUGGGGUUGAAUAGUGUCCUCCUUUGCUAAAUUAGUAAAAUUUUCCUGGAUAAUGUCCUGGAGAGUAUUUUCCAGCUUGACUUCAUUCUCUCCAUCACAUUCAGGUACACCAAUCAAGUGUAUAUUAGGUCUUUUCACAUAGUCCCAUAUUGCUUGGAGACGUUGCUCAUUCCUUUUUAUCCUUUUUUCUCUAUUCUUGUCUUGUCGUUUUGUUUCAUUAAGUUGGUCUUCGACCUCUGAUAUCCUUUCUUCUGCUUGAUCCAUGUUUAAGCUUGUACAUAUUUCACUAAGUUCUCAUGUUGUAUUUUUCAACUCCAUAAGUUCAUUUGUAUUCCUCUCUAUAUUGUCUAUUCUUUUCAACAUUUCAUCGAACCUUUUUUCCAAGUUCUUAGUUUCUUUACAUUGGGUUAGAACAAGUUCCUUUAACUCCCAGAAGUUUCUUAUCAUCCACCUUUUAAAGCCUACUUCAGAUAAUGGAACACAGUCCUUUUCCAUCAGGGCUUGCUCCGUUACUGAUGAGUCCUUUUCCAUCAGGGCUUGUUCGGUUGCUGAUGAGUCCUUUUCCAUCAGGGCUUGUUCCGUUGCUGAUGGGUUCUGAUUUUGAGUAUACUCAGCCUUCUUAGGCUGUUUUUUUCCCUUCAUUGUAGGUGAACCGCCUUUCUAAUUAGGUUUCUGAGUCGACAUCCGACUUACUGAUUCCCAGUGCUGGGAUCCGAGCAACCCACUGUGGCAGCCUAAAUAGCAGCGGUAAGACUGAUGGUGCUCUUCUGCCCGGGAAUCUCUGGUCUGGCUUCCCUCUUGAGUCCGCAACAAGCGGCUCUGACUUCCCGGAGCUCCAAACUCCGGUCAGUAGGGGAAGCGGUCCCAUUGGCUCUGCAUGAAGAGCUGCUGAGCCCAGACGCCGGCAAAACCACUAGGCGGCCACAAGAGUCGCGCUGGCGACCCGUGGGGCUCCUCCACUGGGAAUCGGCUAAUCGGUGAGUGACGAAAAUUCGUCUAAAGAUGUGGCAUCGUCUCGUUCUCUGAGCUUUCACUGGGAGCUACAAUCCUGAGCUGUUAGUGGUCGGCCAUCUUGAAUCCAAGAAUCGCAUUUCAAAUCAACACAGCUUCCCAAAAGAUUCCAGAUGAACUGUCCAAUGGUCUUUCCAAAGAUAAAAGGCCUGGAUCCCUUGAGAAGGCAGUUCUCACUAGUAGAUUAGAAUCUCGCAGAAGACCUAGAACACUCAUGGAGCAAAGACUUAAGGAUAUCAUCUUUAGAGAAAUAACGUUGCUUACUCAGCAGCAAUAGGGCUAGACCUUGUUUUUGCCUUCUCUCUCCCUGGGCCGCGGACGUGCGAUGGUUGGGAUUAAGCUGGCCGCGGCUUUACUCGUUGUACCUCAUUUCUGGCCCUCUGCUACCUUGCCAGUUGUUUUGAGACGCACCAUGUCCUCCUUCACCUCUCUGCCUUUGGAUGUGUGGUUCCUUCUGCCUGAAAUUCUUUUCCCUGCCUUAUCCUUCUGAGAAGCUCCUAGUCAUCCUUCAAAACCCCCCUCAAAUGACAUCUGUUUGGUGAAGUCUUCUCUGACUCCCCAGAGAAUCCCAAGGCAGAGUUACUGAUUCCUCACCAGGGCUUCCACAGCAGCUGGCACAAAACUCAUCACAGUGUACAGUACGCGUUUGUUUUCAUGUCUGCCCUGCCCCCAGGCCUGAGAAUCCCUAAGGGAAGAGGUUGAUUAUUCAUCCUCGGUCUGCAGCCCUGGCUCAGUGCCUGGCAGGUAGUAGGGACUCAGUCAGUGCUGGCAGACCUGAAGCAAGUUCUCCUUUCUGUAACCAGCGGAGUGUUUUUCCAGAUGGCUGAGCAGGAUCAAUGAAGGAAAGACAGUCACUCCCUGAGGCAGCCCUGGGGCACUUGCCUGGCAUCGGGAGCUCAAUGCAGAGUACGGAAUGCUAACAUUUAAUGUUUGUGCACUGGAGGGCAAAUGUCAUUCAAAACUGGAUGGAGGCUGUUUAGAAUCUAUUUUAAUCCCAGAAGAUGACAUGUAAAGAGAAAUUUUCUAAUAGUGUGAUGAAGCUCUGGGACGUGAGUUAAACAGGUGGUGGGUGUCACACAUCGAAGGUCUUCUGUUUUGAGGCAGAGUUUCACUCUUGUUGCCCAGGCUGGAGUGCAACGGUGGGAUCUUGGCUCACUGCAACCUCAGUCUCUUAGGUUAAGUGAUUCUCCUGCCUCAGCCUCUUGAGUAGGUGGGAUUACAGGCAUGUGCCACCACACCUGGGCAAUUUUGUAUUUUUAGUAGAGACAGGGUUUCUCCAUGUUGGUCAGGCUGGUCUUGAACUCCCGACCUCAGGUGAUCUGCCUGCCUCAGCCUCCCAAAGUGCUGAGAUCACAGGCGUGAGCCACCGCGUCUGGCCGAAAGUCUUUAUAAUCUCUGUUUUUUUUUGUUUUUUCCAGAAAAGACUGUCUGAAGUGAGUAGCUGAAAUGUGAACAGAUUAGCUCUGAUUUUAAGGUCAUAUAAUGGGAUCGGUUAGGCCUCUUGCUCACUCUGGGGCUUUGGUAGCUUCAGGUGGAAUGACCUGGCCCUCCAUGAAUGGGUGUUGAGGUUGGACACACGGCGGUCACUUCUCUGCACAGUUCCUCACAGCUUUGCCUCAUCUGCAAACAUCAGAGGGAUCAGUACCCAUAAGUACGUAUGUGUUGUCAGUACACAGACUUUUCCAGAGCUGCAGUAUCGGCCGGUGCUCUUUGCCUGCGCUUCUGUCUGGCUUUGACUCUUCCUCUCUGUCCCCUGGUCCCAAAGGCUCUUGGCGUGGAUAUGGGGAGAGCCAGCUGUAUUGAAAGAGGACACAUGACAAAAGAAGAAAGGUGAGGGUCACCUUCAGGGGGAAAGUAUUGUGGACACGUGCGUCGGUGAUGCGUGGAGUUUAGCAGCCAUCUUGUCACCAUGAGAGGAGUUGGCCAAAUGGCCCAGAUGAUACAUCAAAGAUGUCAGAGGGGAGAAAUGAAAAGGAAUCUGGAUCUUCUUUUUUUUUUUUUUUGAGACGGAGUUUCACCGUUGUUACCCAGACUGGAGUGCAAUGGCACGAUCUUGGCUCACUGCAACCUCCGCCUUCUGGGUUCAAGCAAUUCUCCUGCCUCAGCCUCCCGCGUAGCUGGGACUACAGGCGCGCACCACCAUGCCCAGCUAAUUUUUGUAUGUUUAGUAGAGACGGGGUUUCACCUUGUUGAUCAGGAUGGUCUCGAUCUCUUGACCUCGUGAUCCAGCCGCCUCGGCCUCCCAAAGUGCUGGGAUUAUAGGCGUGAGCCACCGCGCCCAGCCGGAAUGUGGAUCUUCUAUGCAAAUGAGUCACUAAAUUACCAAACUCUGGGGGUGAGGGUGGUGGCUCACACCUGUAACCCUAGCACUUUGGGAGGCCAAAACAGGUGGAUUGCUUGUGUCCAGGUGUUCAAGACCAGCCUUGGCAACAUAGCGAAACCCUGAUCUCUACAAAAGAUACAAAAUUAGUGGGGCAUGGUGGUAUGUGCCUGUGAUUCCAGCUACUGGGGAGGCUGAGGUGGGAGGAUGCAAGCCAAGAUCGCCCCACUCCGCUCCAGCCUGGGUGACAGAGAGAAACCUUGUCUCUGUCUCGGCGAGACUAAAUAAAUAAAUAAAUAACCAACUCUGGAA